UACGGAGGGUGCGAGCGUUAUCCGGAAUCAUUGGGCGUAAAGCGCGUGUAGGCGGUUCCGUAAGUCCGCUCUGAAAGCCCAGGGCUCAACCCUGGGAGGCGGGUGGAUACUACGGAACUGGAGUACGGAAGAGGAGAUUGGAAUUCCUGGUGUAGCGGUGAAAUGCGCAGAUAUCAGGAGGAACACCAACAGCGAAGGCAGAUCUCUGGGACGUUACUGACGCUGAGACGCGAAAGCGUGGGGAGCAAACAGG
rnacentral:rRNA from 1 species